AACAUCGCGCACCUGCGGGAACCUGCGGAAGGAUCAUUAAUGAUUGGUGGCUGUUGCUGACUAGUGUUUCUAGUAUGUGCACGCCACACCUUCAAUCCCACUUACACCUGUGCACCUUCUGUAGUAGAUCUAUGUGGAUACGGAGAUAUGAAAGUUUGCGCUCUCGUACUCUGUUGAAGCAGUCUACUACGUUUUUUUACACACACACAAUAGUCAUUGAAUGUAUUUUUUAUUCUUAUG
rnacentral:misc_RNA from 1 species